UACGUAGGGUGCAAGCGUUGUCCGGAAUUAUUGGGCGUAAAGAGCUCGUAGGCGGUUCGUCACGUCGGCUGUGAAAUCCCGAGGCUCAACCUCGGGUCUGCAGUCGAUACGGGCGGACUGGAGUACUGCAGGGGAGAGUGGAAUUCCUGGUGUAGCGGUGAAAUGCGCAGAUAUCAGGAAGAACACCCGUGGCUAAGGCGGCUCUCUAGUACGGUACUGACGCUGAGACGCGAAAGCGUGGGGAGCGAACAGG
rnacentral:rRNA from 1 species